UGUUGGAUCCGUCAUGUGGACGUUUAUAUCUGCUGUGUUCACCAGAGCGUGUUUUAUUCUUUUAUCGCUGGUAGGAGUCUGUAGAGCGGCAUGGGUCAUGAAAAACCCUUACUACUGGCUUCUGACGCUCCUCUUCCUACCUCAAGUCGUCGAGAUGGUGGUCACCAUGACAAGGAGAAGAGGAAAAGAUUAUAAAUGGUAUUCUCCAGCCAUUCUUCUGUUCCUCAUCAGCAUCAUUCCCUCCAUCUGGAUCCUGGAGCUCCAUCACCACCAGAACAUUUCCAAGGAGCCACAGUGCAGCCAUCUUGACUCAUUGGCGGCUUUCCGAGAAUUUUCCAAUGGUCAGAACGUAACUUCGCCAAAUAACGCCUCCAUAAAUGUAAGUUAAUCGGUUGAAGUCUUCAGGUCCAAUAAAUGCAAUGUAGAUUUCACUGACUUCAAUAGGAUAUUUGUAUGUCAGUUUUUGCCUCAUUGCCUGGCAGUUGG